rnacentral:rRNA from 1 species
AACGGCCGUACCAUGCUGAAUAUACCGGUUCUCGUUAGAUCACCGAAGUUAAGCAUCAUUGGGCGCGGUCAGUACUUGGGUGGGUGACCACCUGGGAAUACCGCGUGCCGUU